CUACGGGGCGCUCCAGUGGGGAAUAUUGCACAAUGGGCGCAAGCCUGAUGCAGCAACGCCGCGUGAGUGAAGAAGGUCUUCGGAUCGUAAAACUCUGUCCUAUGGGAAGAAACAAAUGACGGUACCAUGGGAGGAAGCCCCGGCUAACUACGUGCCAGCAGCCGCGGUAAUACGUAGGGGGCAAGCGUUAUCCGGAAUCACUGGGCGUAAAGGGUGCGUAGGCGGCUUAUCAAGCCAGGGGUGAAAGGCAUUGGCUCAACCAAUGUAAGCCUUUGGAACUGACGAGCUUGAGUACAGGAGAGGUAAGUGGAAUUCCUAGUGUAGAGGUGAAAUUCGUAGAUAUUAGGAGGAACACCAGUGGCGAAGGCGACUUACUGGACUGUAACUGACGCUGAGGCACGAAAGCGUGGGUAGCGAACAGGAUUAGAUACCCGUGUAGUC
rnacentral:rRNA from 1 species